rnacentral:rRNA from 1 species
GAUGAACGCUGGCGGCGUGCCUAAUACAUGCAAGUCGAGCGAACAGACGAGGAGCUUGCUCCUCUGACGUUAGCGGCGGACGGGUGAGUAACACGUGGAUAACCUACCUAUAAGACUGGAAUAACUUCGGGAAACCGGAGCUAAUACCGGAUAAUAUAUUGAACCGCAUGGUUCAUUAGUGAAAGACGGUUUUGCUGUCACUUAUAGAUGGAUCCGCGCCGCAUUAGCUAGUUGGUAAGGUAACGGCUUACCAAGGCAACGAUGCGUAGCCGACCUGAGAGGGUGAUCGGCCACACUGGAACUGAGACACGGUCCAGACUCCUACGGGAGGCAGCAGUAGGGAAUCUUCCGCAAUGGGCGAAAGCUUGACGGAGCAACGCCGCGUGAGUGAUGAAGGUCUUCGGAUCGUAAAACUCUGUUAUUAGGGAAGAACAAAUGUGUAAGUAACUAUGCACGUCUUGACGGUACCUAAUCAGAAAGCCACGGCUAACUACGUG